rnacentral:piRNA from 1 species
UGAUUUGCUCUCAGCAGUGCCGGCUUCU